rnacentral:tRNA from 1 species
GCAGUGAUGUUUCAGUGGUAGAAUUCCCACCUUCCAUGAAGGAGACCCAAGCUCGAUUCCCGGUCAAUGCA